rnacentral:lncRNA from 1 species
AAUCUCAUUAUGGACACGUUGGGCGCUCUGGCGCUUGCUACUGAACAACCAACCAAGGAGCUUAUGGACAAGCGCCCUGUGGGUCGUACAGAGCCUCUUAUAUCGAAUAUAAUGUGGAGGAACCUCAUAGCUCAAGCCUUGUAUCAGAUUGUAGUACUCUUGACAUUGCAAUUUGGAGGGGAAAAGAUUUUCAAUGUGAACGAAAAGGUAAAGGACACUUUGAUUUUCAACACCUUUGUGCUUUGUCAAGUAUUCAACGAGUUCAAUGCAAGGAAGCUAGAAAAGAAGAAUGUUUUCGAGGGGAUACACAAGAACAAGCUGUUUCUAGGAAUUAUUGGGAUCACAAUUGUUCUCCAAGUUGUGAUGGUAGAAUUUCUAAAGAAGUUUGCAGAUACAGAGAGAUUGAACUGGGGGCAAUGGGGAGCAUGUAUUGGUAUAGCUAUUCUAUCUUGGCCUAUCGGCUUCCUGGUAAAGUAUAUACCUGUCCCAGAAAAACCGUUCUUCAGCUUUCUGAAGGGAAGAACUUGAAGGACAUCUUCAUGGAAAACAUAUUAAGAUCUUGUUGAAGUUUGUUAAAGCUUGCUGUAUAUAUUUAUUUUUUAAAUAAAUUCCUUCGAGUCUUCUCUUAAUUAGGAUUUAGUAUAUCCAUAUUCUGUAAUUUACUUGCUGAUAUGAAACUUUUUUUGCAAUUACUUGGCAGCUCUAGAAACUCUUUAUAAUCAGUCUGACAGUACAAAUUUUGAUUUUCUUAAGCAAUUAAUUACUUGGAAGCAAUUAAUUUUUACUUGAACAAAUUUGGCAUGUUUGAUUAACUUUCAAUGUUUAGCAGGAAGCCAGGAACCAUCAAAUAGCUCAAAGGACAUGCAUGAAGCAUGAAAUUAUGAUGUGUAUAAAAUAUAGUAUAAGGUUUUUAAUGUCAUCAUUUGUGCAGAUUCCAGUACUGCAGUUACUUUGUUUUUAUGCCUACAGAGUUGGAAAAAAUUAUAAUUAUAGCACAUUGGUAACAUUUUACAAAAGCAAGAGAUUAGAGCUAGAUGAAGAUUGAAGAUAUAGAGUGGAACCUGAACAAGCGUCCAGUUUCCGAGUCACCUGAAAGAUAGUUCUGCAUUAUAGGACCACUAUGUUGUUGAAGUGAGGUGCAGUGUCCAUAGAACAACUAUUUGAGUACAUAUAUGUGUGUUCCGUAGGAGCCAUUAUCAGCUUCAUAAAGUUGCAGAAUCUGAUGAACAUCUGCAGAAGAUAAUAUGAUAUAUUAAAAUUUACUAGAUUAUCUAGUAAAUCCUCAUAACUUCUCUUUUAAUUUCACAAAAAUAUGAAACCAAUCCAAACAAAACGUACUGAGUGUAUCCACUCGUAGAAUGGGGUAUUAUAGUUUGGCAUCUGUGGCCAGUGGCCACUGUUUUAAGAUGGAAAUGAUGUGUUUACAACAACAUCCAGAAAUUUAUUCAGUUCCAGUUGACUAUAGUUGACUAGUUGUGGCAGCUCUUGUUAUCAACUUCGUGCCAGACCGGAAGCUAUAUCAUUAGGAGAGGACAUUGUCGGAAGGACAUGUAUGAAACACGACAUUAUGCAGUGUGGAAGAAACAGUAAGAAGUUUGUAAGAUCACCAUCUCGACUCACUCAGAUGCAUAUUCCAUGUUGUUAUGCCUUCAAUGUUUAUAUAUACAAAAAACUCCAGCAGAUAGAAAAUUGGUAGCACUCUCCGGCUUACAAACAUAUAUGAAACAACACUAUGUCAUCUGUAUGACACGGGGCAAAUCUCUUCUAAAUUAUCAUUACUCUGGCAUUCAUAUUUAUGCUAGAGUAGAGUACCUUUCUUGGCUGGAAUGCUGGAGUGAAGUUUUAUGAUACAUGAUUCUAAACAAAACAUACAAAGUAUAUCCGCUUAGCUUACAGCCUUACACACUUACCAGCAGUUCUAGAGCAGAGGGAUUGUUUAUGUUAACUCGUGACACUCACUUUAAUCAGGUUUCAUAGAACUAUGUUUCAGAAAUUUGUAUGGUGUAUAUGUAUGCUAUAGAGUGUUUAUACAGCCAUCAAUUUUCCCGUCGUUGGAUCAUUGAUCCAAUGGCUGGGAUUAAAAAUUCUAAUUCCACUAUCAGAACAAAAUUUUAGCCAAACUUCCUUGUAGCAAAAUUUUUGUGCUGGUAGGGGGAGCAUAUUUUUAAUUCCAGCCUUUGGAUCCCAACACAUAUUAUUUUACCAAUGGAUGUUUUAGUUUGCAUUAUAGAGUAUUUUAAACAUACACUCAACAAUUCAGUAUCUUCAUGUUCUGUACUUUAAUAUAUAUAGUCCUCCAUAGCAAAUUACAUGGCAGCUGUGGAGUACAGUAAUAAAAAGAGACUCUUAUUACAUAUAAUGUUUUCAGUCAUACAAAUAAAAUUAGUUCUUCUGAAUACAAUUUCACUCAGUUUCCAAAGAGACUCACACUCUCAUAGUGUUUUCAGCUUAAGCUAAACAACAGUCACCUGGUUGAGAACUGGCAUAGCAACUUAAGCCUUUGUGCUCCUCCAGGCUUUGUAAGUAGAUCAAUAGGCAAUUAGCACCAAAAAAAAAAAAAGUAGAUCAAUAGGCUGAUUAUAUGCAGAAACAUAGAGAGAUUUAUGAUAAAAUCGAAUCUAUGGAUCAUUAACGAAUCGAGGAUCGCAAACGAUGAUUCGAUUGAUGACGAAGAAAGAAUUUAGUUCAAUUAUCUAAGACAGAAAAAGAAUUUUUAUCGAUUGAUGAUAAAAAGAAUUUUUAUCGGUUGAGGACCAAUUCUAUAAAAAGAUGUCUUAGUCAAUUUAAUAAAAGAUGUCUUAAUGAAAAGAAAAGAGAAAAUUAAGAUAGAGUAAUUAAGAGUGCACUAUAAAUAAUUAUAAUAAUAACCUCAUUAGUAUGAUCUCAUUAUAGUUGUUAUGAUCAUUCGGCACAUAACCCAAAUUGAAAAACGAUCCAGAAAUGAAACGUACCUGGGGAAUUAGUUGGAUGAGAGCAGAGGAAAGUUCCCUCGUAUGAAAACUGAUGAGGUAGUGUGGAUAUCUUACUUAUAUGCAGGAGUGGUUUUGGAUUGGUUGAGUUAGCAAAGCUGCUGCUUUGUCUUUCAGCUUCAGGAAGUUCUGUAAAAUUAGCACACGAAAACACACAUAUUUUAUGGGUGAAAGAGCACAUAUUCACACUCUCCGACAUAAUUUCAUUUCUUUAUAACAUAUAAAUAUACAAUAGAUAACCAUUCAUUGUUUUUUACGAAAAUAUAUAUGUAUAGUUAAAAUUGGUCUGAAAACCUAAGAGCAGUUCUUUUAUUUUGAAAUCAAGAAAAUCAGUUAAUUGGACUUUAUUAUUAUUUUUUUGACAAAAAUAUGGUUUAUAGUCUUAUAAAUGAGUAUUAAACCCAGCACCUGGGACGAAAGAGGAUAAACUUUUAACCACUGAGUUAUCCAACCGUACUCGAUUGGACUUUAUUAUUAGUUACUUCGAAUUGAUGAUUAAAUCACUUGAACGGGGAGAUGUAUUCAAUUGAUAUUUCUUAAGAAAAACUCUUAUGUUCAUGAAAGUACCGUAAUCAAUUGAAAUUUUAAAAAAAAUAUAUUGAAAUUUUGAGAUUUUUAUUUAAAUUAUAGAAUUCAAUGAUAUUUAAUUAGGCUUUUAAAUUAUACUUAAAAAUCCAAUGAUACUCAAUUGGAAUUAUAUAAAAUUUAUUAAAUCUAAUGAUAUUCAAACACUGAUGAAUUUUCUUGAACUUCAUAAGGUAAUGGAUUUUGGGGAUUGUUCAACGUUUUUUUGUGGUUCUUCAGAUCUUGAAGCGUUGUUUCUACAUCCUCUAAUAUAUGUAUCUAGCACUACAAGAAAAACGGCUAUUUUUAACUGUUUUUUUGAUUAGAAGCUAUUUUCGACCGUUUUUGGUUGAAAAUAAACGGUUGUAAAUAAUAUAUUCAACUGUAUUUGGUCAGAAAAAAGCCGGUCGAAAAAGCCGCCUGCAUAAAUCAAAUUAUAAAAUUUAUAAAAUAUUUAUGAUUAAUUAUAUCCUCUUAUACCUAAUCUUUACCCGUCCUCAGCCUCUUCUGAAUUAGAUUUACGUGGGGAAAAAAAAUUCAGUUUUAUGAAUUUUGAUACAACAUAAACGCGUUAUACUUGCUUAAACUUUUGAGAUAUAAACGAGUAAUAAAUCAUUUUAAAUUUGAUUUAGCAAAAUUUUAAGCAAACUCAAACUACUUGACCCAGUUGAAUGUAAUUUAUGCAUUGCGAAAUUGAGAUUUUCAUAAUAUCUAUCAAAAUUAAUUUUAUUUAUUCGAAAGGUAAAGUUAGUAGAGUUUAUGCGGAGUCAAUUCAAGAUCAGCAUUUUUGAGCUUUUACUUUUGUUUUUUUUCAUAACUUUUGACUUUUGUUAAUAUUAUUCAAAAUCAGUUAUAUUAUUAACAUAAUAUUACCCUACAUUUGAGGUGCUAUUACCAUCUUUUUAGCCUAUUUUUCUUAGAUAUCGUGCAAUGGUGCAUAAAUAUUUUCUUUGUGUAUCAAUUCAAGGUAUAAUGUCAAAAGAUAAAAUUAUAAAGAAUUUACAAUAUAGAAAUUGUAUAAGCAUAACGAGAGUCGUUGCUUGAGAUAAGCACCAACAAUCAUAUAUGAUCAGAAAAGCCUGCUACAGCCUACAUAUAUCAAAAGUCAAAGGAACUCCUAUAUUAAAUAACCAAAGGGAUGUGAAUAAACUCAAUAACUGCAUGGCCACCUUAUGAUAAUAAAAUUCAACUAUCUGGAUGAAAAAGUAACGAUUACUUAACUUAAAAGCUUACUCGUUUUGUAGUAUUAUUUAAUUCUUUAAUGUGUAACACAAGAAUACGUACGCGCACACAUAUCCGAAAGAAAGUUCUUAGAAGCCAGUACAGUAAACUUCAGAUCUAUAUAUAUGGAUAUGGAUCAUGAAACAUUAGUAAUUGUAAACUUAAUUUCGUAAGCUUUUACAGAAACUUGUUCUUCAGUUCUCAUCCUUCAAUUUCUUACAUCGAUUCGAGUUUUUGUCGAUUCCGCAACUAAACACAUAGCUCCUGCAAGUAUCAAUUAAGAUGUCUGCUAUAAUUGAUUUGAAUCAUCGUUGCAUGGACUCUCUGCAGCAACUCAAGUCCAUCAGUCCUCUCAGCAGAAAAAGAUGGAACUUGGCUUUUGCAACUAUAUACUCUUCAAGAGCCUUCUCUCAUGCUAACAACACAUCGAAACCUCAUCAUAAUUACGUGAAAAUAGCGCGCCAAGAUCACGUUCUUGAUGUUUCUUCAGCUUCUUUUCCAAAGGCCAACCAGACAAGUCUUGGGCGAUUGGUAAAGGAUAAAGAUCUGGACCACCUAGAGAGUCUUGGUGGUGUAGAUGGUUUAGUUGCAGCUCUUAAAACAGAUGUGGAGCAUGGUAUAGAUGCAGAUUCUGAUGAUAUUACACGANUAUCCUAGGAUGCCUGCCAAGACUUUCUUUAGCUUUGUUGUUGAAGCAUUUAAGGAUCCAACUAUUCUCAUUCUCCUUGUCUGUGCUGCUCUUUCUCUUGGUUUUGGAAUGAAAGAAGAUGGACCUAAAGAAGGAUGGUACGACGGGGGAAGUAUAUUUGUAGCCGUUUUUCUAGUGAUAUCUGUCUCUGCAAUUAGUAAUUUCAGGCAGAGCAGACAAUUCGACAAGUUGUCUAAGGUCAGCAACAAUAUUCAAGUGGAGGUUGUUAGGAAAGGGAGGCGUCAGCAGAUUUCUGUCUUUGAUAUCGUCGUGGGAGAUGUGGUUUGCUUGAAGAUUGGUGAUCAAGUGCCUGCAGAUGGACUUUUUGUAGAGGGUCAUUCUCUACAGAUUGAUGAAGCAAGCAUGACAGGGGAAAGUGAUCAUGUCGAAGUUAAUCUUGACAAAAAUCCGUUUCUCAUUUCGGGUACUAAAGUGGCUGAUGGAUAUGCAAAGUUUGUGGUCACUUCUGUUGGCAUGAAUACAACAUGGGGAGAGAUGAUGAGUUCAAUUAGUCAGGAUUCGAGUGAAGAAACGCCCCUCCAAGCCCGGCUCAACAAACUCACCUCAUCAAUAGGUAAGAUUGGUUUAGCAGUAGCUUUUCUAGUACUUGUAGUCUUGUUGAUUAGGUUUUUUACUGGGAAUACUAAAGACGAUGAUGGAAAGACUGAAUUCAACGGAAGCAAGACCAAGGCAGACGAUGUGAUUAAUGGUGUUGUGGGGAUAAUUGCUGCUGCAGUCACCAUUGUAGUCGUGGCGAUACCUGAGGGAUUGCCCUUGGCAGUCACCCUUACACUUGCUUACUCCAUGAAAAGAAUGAUGGCUGAUCAGGCUAUGGUGAGGAAGUUGUCUGCUUGCGAGACCAUGGGCUCUGCCACAACUAUUUGUACUGAUAAAACAGGUACUCUCACAAUGAACCAAAUGAAGGUAACUAAGUUUUGCCUUGGAAAAGAAUCUGUGAAAGAUAUCAGUUAUAAUACUAUUGCGGCUAGUAUUGUUGAGCUCUUCCACCAAGGAGUUGGUUUAAACACAACUGGCAGUGUUUACAAAGCCAAUUUAGCAUCGGAGUUGGAGUUCUCAGGUAGUCCUACUGAAAAGGCAAUUCUUUCUUGGGCUGUCUUAGAGCUAAAUAUGGAUAUGGAGGAACUGAAACGGAGCUAUAAACUUCUACAUGUGGAAGCUUUCAAUUCGGAGAAGAAGAGAAGUGGAAUUCUCAUGAGAAAAAAUGGGGACAACACUAUGCAUGUACAUUGGAAAGGAGCUGCAGAGAUGAUAAUAGCAAUGUGUACUCACUAUUAUGACUCACUUGGAAACAUGAAAGUUAUAGAUGAUACUGAAAGGGAGGAAAUUAAUCAACUUGUUCAAGGUAUGGCUGCUAGUAGUCUGCGGUGCAUAGCAUUUGCACAUACACAAGUCUCCGAAGAUGAAUAUGAUGAGGGGAAGGCAAAACUAAAAGACAGCAGCUUGACCCUAUUGGGUCUAGUUGGUUUAAAGGAUCCAUGCCGACCUGGUGUGAGGAAAGCUGUCCAAGAUUGUCAACAUGCUGGUGUGAAUGUUAAGAUGAUCACAGGAGACAAUGUCUUUACUGCAAAAGCAAUAGCCACCGAGUGUGGGAUACUAAGGCACGACCAGGACAUGGACGGAGCAGUGGUUGAGGGUGUGGAAUUCAGGAACUACACCCAAGAGGAGCGAAUGGAGAAAGUUGAUAAAAUUUGUGUGAUGGCAAGAUCGUCGCCUUUUGACAAGCUUUUAAUGGUACAAUGCCUCAAACAGAAGGGACAUGUCGUUGCAGUUACUGGCGAUGGAACAAAUGAUGCUCCUGCACUAAAAGAAGCUGAUAUUGGUCUCUCUAUGGGGAUCCAGGGUACAGAGGUCGCCAAAGAGAGCUCAGAUAUAGUUAUAUUGGAUGAUAAUUUCGCAUCUGUGGCAACUGUUUUGAGAUGGGGAAGAUGUGUUUACAACAACAUCCAGAAAUUCAUUCAGUUUCAGCUUACGGUGAAUGUGGCAGCUCUUGUAAUCAACUUUGUGGCAGCUAUAUCAUCUGGAGAAGUUCCAUUAACAGCAGUCCAGUUACUUUGGGUGAAUCUAAUCAUGGACACGUUGGGAGCUCUUGCGCUUGCUACUGAACAGCCAACCAAAGAGCUUAUGGACAAGCGGCCUGUGGGUCGUACAGAGCCACUCAUAUCAAAUAUAAUGUGGAGGAACCUGAUAGCUCAAGCCUUUUACCAGAUUGUAGUUCUCUUGACAUUGCAAUUUGGAGGGGAAAAGAUUUUCAAUGUGAACGAAAAGGUAAAAGACACUUUGAUUUUCAACACCUUUGUGCUUUGUCAAGUAUUCAACGAGUUCAAUGCAAGGAAGCUAGAAAAGAAGAACGUUUUCGAGGGGAUACACAAGAAUAAGCUGUUUCUAGGAAUUAUCGGGAUCACAAUCG